CUCAGUUCACUUUGCCUUGGUUAUAUUUAAAAUUCUUUUCUUUUUUUCUUGGAACUUUGGCUUUUAAAUUUUUAGUUUUUCUUAAAAAUGUCUAAAGGCACUGGACCUUUGUCUAAGUUGUACAAUGUUACCAUCAGUACUAUUGAUAAAUUUGUUCCAGGUGCAGUUCAGCCACUUUGGCAAUCCCCAGCUGGACCCCGCACUGUGUUUUUUUGGGCGCCAGCGUUUAAAUGGUCCUUGGUGCUGGCUGGGCUGAGCGAUACGCUAAGUCGUCCUCCUGCCAAUAUAUCGCUGAAUCAGUGCGGCUCCUUGGCAGUCACGGGCUUGAUUUGGUCUCGCUACUCAGUGGUUAUCACACCCAAGAACUACAAUCUUCUGGCCGUCAACAUAGCCGUCUUCAUAAUCCAGGGUUAUCUAAUGGUCAAGCACCUGAGGUGGCGCAGCGAGAAUUCUCGGAAUGCCGUGUUCAAUCAUUCGCACUUUCCAAUCAAAUCGGAGGAUGAUUGGUAGCAAGAAAAGCAGUUUAUUGAAAGUUGGCGGUUUUUGAUUUCAUCAUUGUUUGAAAUCAUCUGAACUGAAAGUGUUAUUAAAAGAAAUACUUAAGAAAGAUGAUCCAAAAAUUAUGAGCCUGAAAAUGAGAAUUCGUUUUCUUUAAUGACCAACCACGUCCAAAUAAGAACAACCAUCACAUUUGUUGUGCCGCUCUGAAGCUUUACAGUUUUUAUUCCAUUUUCUCUUAUGCAUUCUUGAAAUCAUCAUCGUAUAGCUUCUGCUCGAAACUAAGAACUCUAUCAAUAAAACUAAUGUUUCUCGCCCCCGAUGUUCUGGGGCGAUGGCUUGGGCAUGUGA